rfam:Sus scrofa isolate TJ Tabasco breed Duroc chromosome 12, whole genome shotgun sequence.
UCCCUGGUGGCUCAGCGGGUUAAGGAUCUGGUGUUGUCACUGCUAUGGUGCAGGUUCGAUCCCUGUCCUGGGAA